AUUGAACGCUGGCGGCAUGCUUUACACAUGCAAGUCGAACGGUAACAGGCCGCAAGGUGCUGACGAGUGGCGAACGGGUGAGUAAUGCAUCGGAACGUGCCCAGUCGUGGGGGAUAACGCAGCGAAAGCUGCGCUAAUACCGCAUACGAUCUGUGGAUGAAAGCGGGGGACCGAAAGGCCUCGCGCGAUUGGAGCGGCCGAUGUCAGAGUAGGUAGUUGGUGGGGUAAAGGCCCACCAAGCCAACGAUCUGUAGCUGGUCUGAGAGGACGACCAGCCACACUGGGACUGAGAUACGGCCCAGACUCCUACGGGAGGCAGCAGUGGGGAAUUUUGGACAAUGGGCGCAAGCCUGAUCCAGCAAUGCCGCGUGCAGGAAGAAGGCCUUCGGGUUGUAAACUGCUUUUGUACGGAACGAAACGGCUCUGGUUAAUACCUGGGGCUAAUGACGGUACCGUAAGAAUAAGCACCGGCUAACUACGUGCCAGCCGCCGCAGUAAAAC
rnacentral:rRNA from 1 species